GUGAGGAAUAUUGCGCAAUGGAGGCAACUCUGACGCAGCCAUGCCGUGUGCAGGAAGAAGGCGCUACGCGUUGUAAACUGCUUUUAACCGGGAAGAAACCCCAGGACGUGUCCUGGGUUGACGGUACCGGAGGAAUAAGCACCGGCUAACUUCGUGCCAGCAGCCGCGGUAAUACGAAGGGUGCAAGCGUUAUCCGGAUUUAUUGGGUUUAAAGGGUGCGUAGGCGGAGCGUUAAGUCAGUGGUGAAAUCCUGCAGCUUAACUGUAGACUUGCCAUUGAUACUGGCGCUCUUGAGUGCGCUUGAAGUGGGCGGAAUGUGCCGUGUAGCGGUGAAAUGCUUAGAUAUGGCACAGAACACCAAUUGCGAAGGCAGCUCACUAAGGCGAUACUGACGCUGAGGCACGAAAGCGUGGGGAUCGAACAGGAUUAGAAACCCUAGUAGUCC
rnacentral:rRNA from 1 species